rnacentral:ncRNA from 2 species
UACACUCCCGGCUAAUCUGGUGCUCGCGCACGCGUUCCGACGUGCGCAGUUAAACGGGAAACAGCGGUUCGAUGCAGCGAUGCGCUGCGGCGACCCCACCUGUGCUGCCCCCGCAACGGUAAGCGAACGUGUCGCUUGAGAGCGACACACGGCCGACUUCUACACAUGCGUGCCACGUAUGUGCAAGACCACUGCGCUCAACGCCUGUCCAUCCACAGGUUGCGCGGGAAGGUGAAGCGGCUUUUCGCCAGCCCGGAGACCGGCCGGAGAAGACGACACGCG